AUCUCAAGCAUGCACAUUGCGUUAAAAAUAUGACAGCUCGCCUUCUGGAAUUUCGUAGUUCCGUUCCUCCUCCUUACAUUUCUCUGGAUUUUGUGGAACUCAGGUCAAGUGAAUACAUAAUAGCAAAAGGCUCACACACUUACUCUAAGAACGGGGACUGCAUCUGUUGUGUCCGAUGUCAUAUAUCCUGCAGUUAGCACAGUGUGUGACAGAUAAGAACUCAGUAAAUAUCUGUGAAGAUAAGAACAAAUGAAAGUGUACUAAUGCACAACCCUCCAAUUCCAUCCCCCUUAGUCCCACAUAAGAGCUGAACUGAGUUGACAAACAACAGAGCCAAUCAUUACGCAGACAAGUGUUGAGCUUUUCAUCAGGGUUAAGCAGCUUCAACUUGUUUCUACUUUUGGCAUCUUCCAGAUGGGGCCUUGGAUCAGUGCUGGAGCCUGGAAGUCUCAGAUCAGCGUGCCAGCCUGGUCCUGUUCUGGUGAGUACCCUCUUUGGGGUUACAUACUGCCAACUUCUCUUUAUAUCCCAAGGCAGAGAGCAGAGAAGGGAAGGAAGCGCUCUCCUGAUGGUUGUUUUUAAGUGAAGAUUUAUUUGGGGCCCGUGCUUUGCUGUUCUUUAAAAAUUACAUUAUGUGGAAAUGUUAGUACAAAAGGGUUUUUCUUGUACCAAACUAAUGUAGGUCUUUCCUAUCGGUUUAACGCUUCCCUUCUCCGUGGAAGCUGUAGUUUUAACAGUAGCUUUCAGUAGCCUGGUUAAAAUCAUGGGCGCUGUCUUAGUGUUUUUCAUCCCCAGGAAUUAGGGCAGUGCCUGCAGCAGUCCUGGAAAUUGAGCCUAGGUCUCAUUCUUGUGUCUAAAUUAGCUGAUUCAUUAAAAUAUUAAAUUGUUUAAAGAUGAAAUUGAGUAUCCAUGCUUUACAUUUGGAAAUUUU
rnacentral:lncRNA from 1 species